rnacentral:rRNA from 1 species
UACAGAGGUCUCAAGCGUUGUUCGGAAUCACUGGGCGUAAAGGGUGCGUAGGUGGCGUGGUAAGUCAGAUGUGAAAGCCCGGGGCUCAACCUCGGAAUAGCAUCCGAUACUACCAUGCUAGAGUACUGAAGAGGUGACUAGAAUUCUCGGUGUAGCAGUGAAGUGCGUAGAUAUCGAGAGGAAUACCAACGGCGAAGGCAGGGUCACUGGGCAGUUACUGACACUGAGGCACGAAGGCCAGGGGAGCAAACGGG